UCAUCCCUGGUUCUACAGCACAUUACUCCUCGCCACAGACUCCAACACAAACCACGUAUAGUACGGAGAGAAAGAGGAGAGAGGGAGAGUAAAAGCAUCGUGUGGUUUGUUUGGAGUGGGUGUUUUUGAUCGAUCGUCACUAUGUCUCUUCUUUCCGAUCUUUGCAACUUGAAUCUAUCUGAGUCCACCGAGAAGAUCAUUGCAGAGUACAUAUGGAUCGGUGGAUCUGGUAUGGACCUCAGAAGCAAAGCCAGGGUAAUACUUUUAAUGAAUUUAAUUAAUGCACACACAUAGGAUCUGUUUGGUUGUCUUUAUUUAUUUAUUAUUUAUUAUUUACUUUUAAUUUUAAUUUUAUCAUUUAUAGAAAAGUUUGGAGAACUGUUUUUAAGAAAUAUUCUGAAAACAACUCAAUUUUUAUGAAAUACUGAAUGGUUGGUGUUUGGCAAGUGGUUUUGGGGCUAAGAUAGCC